AAGUCGUAACAAGGUUUCCGUAGGUGAACCUGCGGAAGGAUCAUUAACACGUAUCCACGUAUCAACCCCUUUGUGCUUUUUUACGUUUUGACGUACCCUGUCUUGAAGGUGAACCCUGAGGUCUCGUGAGAAAUCUGAAUGGUGUCAGAGUUUGUGCUUCGGCGCGAGCUUUGACUGUUUUCACGGGACUGUUGCAACCCUUUAUUGGGCGGCAUCGGGCUCCUUUCUACCGUACAGGUCUUUUUAGAUGCUUGCCAUUCGACGUCGACCUUUUAAACUAUAAACCCUUUGAAAACAUCUUGCUAACUUUAAUUUUGGACGGUUGUUGCGAAAGAGGCUCACGCCUUUUGCGCUUCUGAUUAUUCAAAUAUUACGAAAUGCUUGACAACUCUUAGCAACGGAUAUCUUGGUUCUC
rnacentral:misc_RNA from 1 species